rnacentral:tmRNA from 1 species
CCCCUUUUCAUGCGGGAUGGAAAGACCUAUAUCCAUCGUGCCGUCUUCGGGCGGAUAUGGCGAUAAACAAGCGAUGCAAUAAACCUAUUGGACCCGGGGGCGGUACCCGGCGCCUCCACCAAAAACCGGUCGAUAUUCAGUAUGACCGGCUUUUGAUGGGGGCGAAAUAGGAUCGACAAGGGCGUAAAGAUCGACUUUUUGCUCGGCAUUGUACCACCGUUAUCGGGCUAAACUUGUAGUUGCAAAUGACAACUAUGCGGAAGCUCGUCUCGCUGCUUAAUCGCAGUGUGACACUUCAAAUCAAGUCCUUCCGGUUCGCACCGUAAGGCGGGGUCCGAAGGCACCUGGCAACAGAAGCCUUCACC